GGGAGGGAAGGAGGAAGGGAAGAAGGGAGAGAAGGAUGAUUUCUAGACGAAAGCCAAGUCAUAUGACUCGCCGAUUCUCCUCCAACUUAAAACUUUCAAGCUGCAGGAAGACAAACACAUGAACCCUUGCAUGGGUCCAGAAUGCCUAGAAGCAAGCUUGGGCACUUCUGCUGUUAGCAAUCCUGAACUGUUCAUCUCAGCCUGUUGCUCUUGCCACACACUGCGCUGGAUUCUGUGGUAGGGAGGGGACACUCGCGAGCCCAGCCAGCCUGGUGGCUGAGAUGGGUGGGUUGGGGCUUUCAGGCUGCUCAGCUGUGGAGAUUUUGGGGCUCUUGUCUGGCCACAGCUGGCUGCGAACCCCUGGUCCGGGGGAACCCACUGUACACCACUUGGCCGCCGGCAGAUGGUGCCCUGCACAGCCCGACAGUCGGGGAGACCCGGCUAAAGUAAGGCUCAGACUCCGCCCCAGCCAAUCCACCGGCGCAACAGUCCCCCUUCCUUCCCAAAAUAGUGCGGAGUACGUCUCCUUCGGAGCACUGCGGUAGCCUGUGUGUGUGUCGAAAAUACAAACUGUGGGGCGACCGACAGUGUGUGUACUGGAGUGGGGCGUACGCGCGGAGUGGGGACCCUGGGGACCAGGGCCGAGGUGACCACCAAUGAAAAGCAGAGGACGGGGAACUGGUUCAUUUCUCAUCUGCGUAAGCUCGGCCGGCCGCCGAGCCCUUGGGGAGGCCACUCACCAUAUUCACUUCCGAGACCAUGUCUAUGCUGGCGACAUCGAUCCGCAUCCCGACGUCCACCGGGGGCCCUGCCAGGGAGGUGGACCACAGCAAAGACAGUCUUUGAGUGGCAGGGAGCUGAGGGGACAUUGGGGGCUUCCCAGAUCUUAUUACAGACUAAGCAGGCUCCCUCCCUACCCCUUUCCUGUUGUAGGGGACAGCGGGAGAAAACAGGUGUGGGCACACGCGUGAUGCAGUGACAGUGCAGAGGGUGUGUCGGCUUGAAGAGAGGGACAGCUCAGCCUGAGGAUACGUCCACCUGAGAUUGGGGAUAGUGCGUGGUGUGUGUGUGUGUGUGUGUGUGUGUGUGUGUGUGUGUGUGUGUGUGUGCGCGCAGGGCGUAGUAUUGCACGUUUACAGGAACGGUAAAAUGGGGAAGGAGGCAUUAUAUCUGACAGAAAAGGUGAACUAGGGAUGGGUAACAGGUUGAAAAAAAAAAUGAAGAAGCAUUACCUCCAAAGUCCGGCCGCAAGCGAAUGUCAUAUCCUUUGAGCAGUCGGUCCACUGUCUCUUUCACGUAUGACAUGUUGCUGGGUUCAUUGGAGCUGAAGGGAAGAAGUAGGGACCGUAUUCAGAAAGAUCACAAACUGAAAACAGACAUAAAAAAAGAUCCAGGCACACCUACCCCCAAAUAACAAGAUACAUGAUCCAGCAGGCACGGGAAAAUAAAAAAUAAAAGAAGAAGAAGAAAAUCACCAAGGAAAAAAAAAGAGAGAGAGAUUGAAGCAGGCAGCUCACCUGUGUGCACAACAAACCAUAGCAACCAUCACGGGAAAAGAGAGAAGCCCCAAACUCUCUCGAUUUUGUACUGUCCACAUUCCUAACUCUGAUGAAAGAAUUGUCUUUUCUGCGAAGAUUCAAGGAAUGCAACUUAGUCGGCGGCUGGGCAGUAAUUCCCGAAUGGACCUGCGCAUGCGCAGAGGGUACUCACUACCAAAAGACACCUUGUGCCUUGCAAACAAUAUUCCUAGUGGAACAGGCAACAGAUUUCAAUCCCUUUAAAGUUCCUGUCUGAGCUCCCAUCUCCAUCAGUCCACUUGGAAUGGGAAGUGAAGAGAAGAAGAAUGAAGCAACCCUGGCAAUCAAUCUUUUUUUCCAGGACCUUUGCUGUAGUUGAUGAUCAACACAGAAAUUGACAAUUGGUCAAUGUGCAGAGGACAAAGAAGAUUGGGGAUUCUCAGCCCUACUUGGAGCAUCUAUAUAACAUUCCUUCCUGGAAGAAGAGGUGGGGAAAGAUUGUAAAAGCCAGAGGCCCUCGAUGACUACAACGAAGCAACAUUUCCUGGAUACAGCAGGGCAUUUACACAUGUGACCUUAUGGAACAGUGGUUAUCCACUUCCCUAGUGCUGCAACCCUUCACUCUAGUUCCUCAUGUUGUGGUGGCCCCAAAUAUAACAUUAUUUUUGUUGCUACUUCA